GUAGCAAUACAUUCUGCCGGCGACCGGCGCAGGGGUGCGUAACGCGUGAGCAACAUGCCCGUCUCAGGGGGAUAACCGGUGGAAACGCCGCCUAAUACCCCAUGGCGAUAUAUUGAGGCAUCUUGAUAUAUCUAAAGCUCCGGCGGAGACGGAUUGGCUCGCGUGACAUUAGCUGGACGGCGGGGUAACGGCCCACCGUGGCUACGAUGUCUAGGGGUUCUGAGAGGAAGGUCCCCCACACUGGAACUGAGACACGGUCCAGACUCCUACGGGAGGCAGCAGUGAGGAAUAUUGGUCAAUGGCCGGAAGGCUGAACCAGCCAUGCCACGUGAAGGUCAGUGCCCUAUGGGCGUUAAACUUCUUUUGUGCGGGAGCAAUAAUGGUCACGUGUGGCCAGACGAGAGUACCGUACGAAUAAGCAUCGGCUAACUCCGUGCCAGCAGCCGCGGUAAUACGGGGGAUGCAAGCGUUAUCCGGAUUUAUUGGGUUUAAAGGGUGCGUAGGCUGUGAGGUAAGUCAGCGGUGAAAUGCCCCCGCUCAACGGGGUGAAGUGCCAUUGAUACUGCCUUGCUGGAAUGCGGAUGCCGUGGGAGGAAUGUGUGGUGUAGCGGUGAAAUGCAUAGAUAUCACACAGA
rnacentral:rRNA from 1 species